GUCCUAGCCGUAAACGGUGCGCGCUUGCUGUGAGCGGAAUCGACCCCGUUCGUGGCGUAGCUAACGCGAUAAGCGCGCCGCCUGGGGAGUACGGUCGCAAGAUUAAAACUCAAAGAAAUUGACGGGGGCCUGCACAAGCGGUGGAGUAUGUGGCUUAAUUCGAUGCAACGCGAAGAACCUUACCUGGCCUUGACAUGCACGUGGUAGAAGCCUGAAAGGGUAACGACCCCGCAAGGGGAGCGUGCACAGGUGCUGCAUGGCUGUCGU
rnacentral:rRNA from 1 species